AGAAAGCGGGAUUCCAUUGGAAAUUGAUGGAGCAAGAAAACGAUUGAGCAAAAUUUGGGGUUUAGUUAGUUAAGAGAGGGGCGGGAAAUUUAUUAUUUUCUCGGGAAAAUGGCGACCACCACAGCUGCCACCGAAGAAGAAGAAGCUUCCGUUCCCAGAUUAUCUUCCGAAACCGUACUAAGAAGGGGGCCCGAUUAUUUCUUGGUGGUCUGGAGGUGCUUUAGCGUAGUGACUGCUCUCGUUGCCAUUCUCUGCAUUGUCGUCAAUGUUUUCUCCGCCAUAAGAUCAUUCAGGAACGGAUCUGAUGUUUUCGAUGGAAUAUUUCGGUGUUACGCUGUUCUGAUUGCUGCUUUGGUCGUUCUAGCGGAGACGGAAUUGGAAUUCAUCAUGAAAUUUUGGCAGGUCUUGGAGUACUGGGUUGGUAGAGGCAUGCUGCAGAUCUUUGUUGCAGUGAUGACAAGGGCUUUUCCUGACUAUUAUAGUGAGAAAAGGAACCUUGUUUUCCUUCAGAGCUUAGCAAGCUACAUGCUUCUUGCUUGUGGUAUAGUUUAUGUUAUUUCGGGACUCCUAUGCCUUGGCUUCCUCAAACGUGCUCGCCAGAAGAAAAAAAUUACAAGGGAUCAGGCAGUAAGAGAUCUGGAGGAAUUGGAGAGACGAAGGGAGGAACUUGAAGAAUUGCUUAUCGCGGAAAGAGGAUGAGACAAUUUAAUUUAAAAGAAAGAAUGGUACUCGUACUGGAUAACAUGGUAUGACUAUGAGAUAGUAAUAACUGGAUUGGUCCCAUGAAUCGUGACAUUUAGGCACCUAAGAUCUUGAACGUAAUAUUCUUGUUGGAAAAUAGAUUGGCAGCGGAAAAGGUUCUUGGGAGCUUAGGGAUGUGUAUUGAGGCAGGAUGGAAUCAGUGGAUUGAGCGUUCGAUUCGAGGAUGAAGUUGCUUCCUAAUCAUUUAAAAACUAUGCUUUAUAUGUAUUUUCCGCACUUAAUUUUGUAACCCAUUUAUUUAAGUUAUGUUAUGUUUUUUUUUUAUUUUCAAAACAAUGGGAUCCCAUAUCCUACUUUGAAUUUUAUGUAGUUUAACAUUUUUUUACAAGUUUUAAUGAAGUAAUGUUUAUUUCAUAUG